rnacentral:tRNA from 1 species
GGGGCGUUAGCUCAGCUGGGAGAGCAUCGGCUUUGCAAGCCGAGGGUCAAGGGUUCGAUUCCCUUACGCUCCA